rnacentral:rRNA from 1 species
AUUGAACGCUGGCGGCAGGCCUAACACAUGCAAGUCGAGCGGAGCGGCGGACGGGUGUGUGAUGCCUAGGAAUCUGCCUGGUAGAGGGGGAUAACGUCCGGAUACGGGCGCUAAUACCGCAUACUAUCAGAUGAGUCUAGGUGGGCUUAGCUAGUGGGUGGGGUAAAGGCCUACCAAGGCGACGAUCCGUAACUGGUCUGAGAGGAUGAUCAGUCACACUGGAACUGAGACACGGUCCAGACUCCUACGGGAGGCAGCAGUGGGGAAUAUUGGACAAUGGGCGAAAGCCUGAUCCAGCCAUGCCGCGUGGGUGAAGAAGGUCUUCGGAUUGUAAAGCACUUUAAGUUGGGAGGCGUUACCAACAGAAUAAGCACCGGCUAACUUCGUGCCAGCAGCCGCGGUAAUAC